UGAAAACUUUCUUCUUAAUGGUGCCUUAAAUUACUUAGGUUUGGCUCAUGCUAAAAUAGUGAGGUAGCAAGCAUGCAUGGGGGUUUAGGUGUCAACUUUAGAAUAAAUGCUAAGUGGCUCAUCCUUGUUAAUGACACAUGUCCUCCAUUUUAUUUUAUUUUAUUUUUAUUUACUCAAUUCUGAAUAUUCUAUAAAUCAUCUCAAACAUUUAAUAUUUACUCUUAGGUCCUUAGCCAUAAACUUUAAUAUAAUAUUAUUUAAUAAAAAAAAUUAUUAAAUAAUCCUCAUAUUUACAAACAAGUAUUUACUAUUUUUUUUUUUAAAUGGGGG
rnacentral:lncRNA from 1 species